rnacentral:sRNA from 1 species
GGCACAGGCCUCAUAAGAGCUAUGAUAGAAGUUAUAAAUCAUAAGUGUGAUCUUGUCAACUACAGUUACGGAGAAGCAACUCACUGGCCAAAUUCUGGGAGAAUUUGUGAAGUAAUUAAUGAAGCAGUAUGGAAGCAUAAUAUAAUUUAUGUUUCAAGUGCUGGAAAUAAUGGUCCAUGCCUGUCUACAGUUGGUUGUCCAGGUGGAACUACAUCAAGUGUGAUUGGUGUUGGUGCUUAUGUUUCUCCUGAUAUGAUGGUUGCUGAGUAUUCACUGAGAGAGAAAUUACCUGCAAAUCAAUAUACUUGGUCUUCUAGAGGACCUAGGUGGUUUCCUCUUUAAAAAAUAAACUUAUCUUAGUAGCUUAUUAUAAAGUGUCAUUGAAAACAACCAGGCCGUGGAUAUCCACAUGGAUCAGAAAGCUUUGCUUUGCACUGUCAUUGUAGACUGCCCCUGCCAGCCCAGCUAAAGACACUCAAUAAGAGUGGCUUAGGAGAAGAGCCAAAAGUCAGCAAAGCUUGAUGUGUUUUUGUUCAGUUAAUAAAAGUGUAAAAUUAUUAAACUUAUUCUCUUCU